ensembl:snoRNA SNORA71 Small nucleolar RNA SNORA71
CCCUGUAUCGAAUGUGAUUUUGGCAUGUGUGGUUGCCAGGUCAUGAUAAUACAGGAAGAGAAAACUGAAUCUUUCCCGUGUUUACAGGAUUGCUUGUUCCUGGUGAACCCUGUAUGUUUCAGACA